CCUGUGUAGACGGUUGAUAGAUUGGUACGUGAUGCCUCUCCCUCAGUAGUUUCCCUGUGUAGAAGGUUGAUAGAUUGGUACGUGAUGCCUCUCCCUCAGUAGUUUCCCUGUGUAGACGGUUGAUAGAUUGGUACGUGAUGCCUCUCCCUCAGUAGUUUGCCUGUGUAGACGGUUGAUAGAUUGGUACGUGAUGCCUCUCCCUCAGUAGUUUCCCUGUGUAGACGGUUGAUAGAUUGGUACGUGAUGCCUCUCCCUCAGUAGUUUCCCUGUGUAGACGGUUGAUAGAUUGGUACGUGAUGCCUCUCCCUCAGUAGUUUGCCUGUGUAGACGGUUGAUAGAUUGGUACGUGAUGCCUCUCCCUCAGUAGUUUCCCUGUGUAGAAGGUUGAUAGAUUGGUACGUGAUGCCUCUCCCUCAGUAGUUUCCCUGUGUAGAAGGUUGAUAGAUUGGUACGUGAUGCCUCUCCCUCAGUAGUUUCCCUGUGUAGACGGUUGAUAGAUUGGUACGUGAUGCCUCUCCCUCAGUAGUUUCCCUGUGUAGAAGGUUGAUAGAUUGGUACGUGAUGCCUCUCCCUCAGUAGUUUCCCUGUGUAGACGGUUGAUAGAUUGGUACGUGAUGCCUCUCCCUCAGUAGUUUGCCUGUGUAGAAGGUUGAUAGAUUGGUACGUGAUGCCUCUCCCUCAGUAGUUUGCCUGUGUAGACGUUUGAUAGAUUGGUACGUGAUGCCUCUCCCUCAGUAGUUUGCCUGUGUAGACAGUUGAUAGAUUGGUACGUGAUGCCUCUCCCUCAGUAGUUUGCCUGUGUAGACGGUUGAUAGAUUGGUACGUGAUGCCUCUCCCUCAGUAGUUUCCCUGUGUAGAAGGUUGAUAGAUUAGUACGUGAUGCCUCUACCUCAGUAGUUUCCCUGUGUAGACGGUUGAUAGAUUGGUACGUGAUGCCUCUCCCUCAGUAGUUUCCCUGUGUAGAAGGUUGAUAGAUUAGUACGUGAUGCCUCUCCCUCAGUAGUUUGCCUGUGUAGACGGUUGAUAGAUUGGUACGUGAUGCCUCUCCCUCAGUAGUUUGCCUGUGUAGAAGGUUGAUAGAUUAGUACGUGAUGCCUCUCCCUCAGCAGUUUGCCUGUGUAGACGGUUGAUAGAUUGGUACGUGAUGCCUCUCCCUCAGUAGUUUGCCUGUGUAGACGGUUGAUAGAUUGGUACGUGAUGCCUCUCCCUCAGUAGUUUGCCUGUGUAGACGGUUGAUAGAUUGGUACGUGAGGCCUCUCCCUCAGUAGUUUCCCUGUGUAGACGGUUGAUAGAUUGGUACGUGAUGCCUCUCCCUCAGUAGUUUGCCUGUGUAGACGGUUGAUAGAUUGGUACGUGAUGCCCCUCCCUCAGUAGUUUCCCUGUGUAGACGGUUGAUAGAUUGGUACGUGAUGCCUCUCCCUCAGUAGUUU